rnacentral:miRNA from 1 species
AAAUGCGCGUAUUCAAGUCCG